GAUCAUUGGGCCAAAGAUAUCCAAGUCAUCAUUCAAUGCUGUGGCCGCGGCAGCAGUGCCUCCAUUUGCAACUGAUGUUUCAGCUGGACCAUCAAGCCCUAAGAGGUCAACAGUGGGUUCUGAUGACUUUUUUGGACUUCCUUUGGCUUCUAAUUGCUGAUCCUCUUUCUUCUGCGGCUUUUCAACUGCUACUUGUUUUGAUGGUUUUUCUGCUUCUCUCUCUCUCUUUUUCUCUUCUUUCUUUUUUUCUUUUUCCUUAUUGAAGGCAUUAGCUGCAUUUUUAUCAUAAUACUUCUUCUUUUCAUACUUAUCCCUGAUGAAAAAUUCCACAGCUUGAUCUGUUUGAGGUCUUCGAAAGUUCUCUGGUAGAUUUGCUUCAUAGAGUAGUCUUGCUUUAGUAUUUCCCAUUUCUUGCAUGCACUGUAUUUGCUCUGGUGUCCACUGGUCCAAGUUGACAGAUUUGACCCUUGAUAUAUGGACCCCAAGAUUUCGAUGUAUUCCAGCACAUCUGAUGCAAAUAAAAACACCAGUGUUCCAAGAAGCCCAUCGUGGCCCCUUGGCCUCGCAGUCGGCGCAGUACUUGUUGUCCUCCUCGCGCAGCAGCUUGGCCAGGAUGGCCUGAUGCUGCUCGUUCUGCUUCUGCGCCUUCUCGCGGCACGAGCGGGUGGCCAUGGCGGCGGCGGCGGCGGCGGCAGCGAACGGCUCCCCGCGGGCGAGGCGGCGCGAGGCUGAGGCCGGGCACCACCGAAGUCACGGCGCUGCUGCCCUGGCGCGGAACCGGCUGCCGCCAGCACCCACUUCCUCGACCGGAACUACUUGCGGACGCCUCCGCCCGCGCACCCGCCUCAAUAGCCGAGGCGCCGCGACAAAUAGUCCGGCGGGUCCUAGCGCCGCCCCAAGCGGACGACAGGGCGCCCCGGGGCUGUGGCGGGGCGCGGGAAGGGUGCGAGGCUCGGCCCACGAGGCACGGCUGCUCGGCGGUAUCCACCCGCCGCGUGGCAGCCGGGGCGGGGCCCGUCUCGGAUGCCCUGAGGGCCGCGCAGGGUCGGCGGGGCGCGGGAAGCGGGAAGCGAGGGUCUGUGAGGGUGUGUGAGGGUCUGUGAGGGUGUGUGGGGGCUGAGAGCUGGGUGCGCUGCUGGGUGGCCGCGCCUGGACGGGGCUCCCACAGAACAGAGCCUGUGCCCGCCCUCAGCGUGCUUGUUGAAUCUGCUACUCAGGAACAUUUUCUCUGUCAGUUUAUUCCAAGCUUUUUUCUCUUUUUUUUUUUUUUCUUUUUUUUCCUUUUUUUUUCAGUGUAGCCCUUCUGGAAAGAGCUGAAGCCUAUAUAUAGCCUAUAAAAUGCUGGAGUGAGGCAGAUGGAAAUUCAGGUCUCUUCUCCUUCUGCCAUUAAAUUACUGAGUCGUGCUGUAUAUCUUUUGCUCAAAUCCUAUGGUUAACUAAUUAUCCCCUAAAUUUGGAAAAGUUACAACAGGAAGAACUGAGAAAACUGCGUAUCAGAAUAAUUAGUAAAGUUUUCCCUAACAUGAGAGAAUGCAUUUGGAUCUCCCUCAGAUAAAGGCAGAGUUCAGGUUGUCCCAUAGGCUCUGCGGGUGCCCUGGCUGAGGGGCGUAAGUCUGCAAAAUGGGAACGUGGUGUUGAGGUGUGAUCCCAAGAGGUGGAUCAGCAUCCUAUAGCUGCCUUUCUGUGGUGCCAAAAUCUGAAGAUAACUGCACCAGAAAAAGCAUAAAAACAAACAAAAACGAGGAAAAAAAAAACCAAACAUGCUUUUCUAGGAGCUUGAUCACUGGGGUGCAAUAGUGCUGGCUAUUUAAACGUGACAUUAAGCAGCGGUGAAUGCUUCCAGCUGAUUAUUUUACCCACUAGCAUACAGUCCUUUUCCUUUUCAAGCCCAAAGUGCCUUUAGUUAUUGUGUCUUUUGUAGAGAAAAACUGCUUCAGCCGUAAGGGCAGAGAGUAUCUCCUCCCCCUCACUUCAUCCCAGGGCUUAGAGGAACAGAACGGUUUCAGAAAGGCAAGGGCUAUGGACAUGAAUUCCCUGAGAGGGGAGAGAAAAUGAGCGUGCACGUUAGAUGCUGGGUAAACUCCUCUUGGGUUCUUAUACCAAAGGACUGUGGCAGCAGCAGUGCCAUUUUAGAAGAAGGUAAUGCUUUCUUUCAUAUUUUGUGUUGAACUCGACCUGUACAUUAUAUACGCUCUGAAAACAUCGCCUGCAAUGCCAGAACGUUUUGAGUUUAGCAAUCAGCUUAAAUUAACAUGCAUCAGUUUCUCUGAUCCUAAAAUGAACACAGUGAUACUUAACCGUGAAACAUGGCAUUUGAUUCAGUGUCUGUGUUUGAAAAACC
rnacentral:lncRNA from 1 species